rnacentral:lncRNA from 1 species
CAGCAAAAGUUAUGGUGGCGAUGGUAAUACGAUAGAGGUGGUUGUGACGAUUGAUCUAGUAUCAAUACUAGUGACGGUGGUGGUGAUGAUAGUGUUGGAGACGACGGUGGCAAGGAUGAUAAAAAUGAUAAAAUCAAUGGAGAUAACAAUGAUAAUGGUGGUGAUGGCAUCAAGGAUGGAGAUGUUGGUGGUGGUAGUGAUGGUAAAAAC